GUAAUGAUGGCGAAGAGGUCACACCCGUUCCCAUUCCGAACACGGAAGUUAAGCUCUUCAGCGCCGAUGGUAGUUGGGGGUUUCCCCCUGCGAGAGUAGGACGUUGCCAG
rnacentral:rRNA from 1 species